rnacentral:rRNA from 1 species
UACGGAGGAUGCAAGCGUUAUCCGGAAUCAUUGGGCGUAAAGCGUCCGCAGGUGGCUAAUCAAGUCUGCUGUUAAAGACAGAAGCUCAACUUCUGAUAGGCAGUGGAAACUGGUUAACUAGAGUAUGGUAGGGGUUGAGGGAAUUCCCAGUGUAGCGGUGAAAUGCGUAGAUAUUGGGAAGAACACCAGUGGCGAAGGCGCUCAACUGGGCCAUAACUGACACUCAGGGACGAAAGCUAGGGUAGCGAAAGGG